ensembl:lncRNA
CCACUUUCUCAUUUUCAUGGACAAGAUGUUCAAGAAUGGUCACGCUGAGCUGGCCCCUCCUCCCAGUGUGGGUGGAGAACAGUGGUACCUGCCAAUAUUUGGGGUGUACAUCCAAGAAAACCAAACCAAAUCCGAGUAGUCUUCGAUUCCAGCGCCCAGUACAACGGUGUGUCACUCAACGACGUGCUGCUGACUGGGCCUGAUCUGAACAACACACUGCUCGGUGUACUGUUGCGCUUUAGAAAGGAAGCAAUCGCUUUUACAACGGACAUAGAGCAGAUGUUCUAUUGUUUUUCAGUGAGGGAAGACGAUAGGAACUUCCUACGUUUUCUAUGGUUCCAAGAUAACGACCCCUCCAAAGACAUUGUGGAGUAUCGAAUGACGGUCCACGUCUUUGGAAAUAGCCCUUCACCCGCAGUAGCGAUUCAUGGAUUGCACCAGUCUGUUCAGGUCAGUGAACUCCACAUUGACGCUGACGUCCAACGUUUUGUGAUGCGUGACUUCUAUGUAGACGAUGGGUUAAAGUCCCUACCCACAGUCGAAGCUGCAGUCAACUUGCUGAAAAAAACACAGGAUAUUCUCUCCAAAUCCAACCUAAGACUACACAAGAUCGCAGCAAACAACAAGGAGGUCAUGGAGGCCUUUCCGGCUGAAGAUCGUGCAAAAGACCUUAAAGACCUUGACCUCAGUGCAGAUGCGCUGCCGAUGCAGCGUAGUCUAGGGAUCAAUUGGGACCUCGAGACCGACUGCUUCCAAUUCAGCGUCUCCGAUGAGAAGAGACCAUACACUCGACGGGGUGUCUUGUCAACAAUCAACAGCCUCUACGAUCCUCUAGGGUUUGUAGCGCCAGUCACAAUACAAGGCAAGGCUAUUCUGAGAGAGCUAACAACUGAGAAAGGUGACUGGGACUCGCCUUUGCCUCGAGAAAUGGAGGAAUCAUGGACAUCGUGGAGAACAUCCUUAACAGAACUGUCCCAGCUGUCUAUUCCCAGAGCCUACACUACAACUUCCCCCGCAACAGCUGUCAGAAGGGAAUUGUGCGUAUUUUCUGACGCAUCCACAAAAGCUAUUGCCGCUGUGGCAUACCUAAAAGUAACUGACUCUGCUGGAAAUAACCAUGUCGGAUUUGUAAUGGGCAAAGCCAAGCUGGCCCCCCGUCCUGAGCAAACAAUUCCGAGACUGGAACUUUGCGCAGCAGUGCUUGGAGUGGAGUUAGCAGACCUAAUCUCGACAGAAUUAGACCUUCAGCUCGAUGCUACAACCUUCCACUCAGACAGCAAGGUGGUCCUUGGCUACAUUUCUAAUGAAACUAGGCGCUUUUAUGUGUAUGUAAGUAACCGGGUAUUGCGUAUCCGAAGAUCCUCUCGCCCAGAUCAAUGGCGCUAUGUGUCAACAGAACAGAACCCCGCAGACCACGCUACACGUGCUGUCACUGCAGACCGUUUGAAUGACACAAACUGGCUGAGCGGGCCCAAAUCUCUGUACACACCGGAGACCAGUACCUCAGAGAGCACCCAUGAACUUGUGGACCCGAGUGCAGACUCAGACAUUCGCCCUCUGCUCGCCUUUUCAACAGCACCUUGAAGAACAGCCUUUGUAAGGGCUGGCAUCACUGCAAAACAGGAUUCAAUUUUGAGGAAUCUAAUCAAGCAUCGCACAUCAUCAUUCGAGCAGUACAGGAGGAAGCCUACAGUCAAGAGAUCAAAUGUGUCCAAAAACAUGAGCAGAUCCCUAAAAGUAGUCCUCUCAAAAAUCUGGAUCCUUUCAUUGAUGCACUCGGCCUUCUGAGAGUCGGAGGCCGCCUCCACAAUGCAAACCUUGUUCAGAGCGAGAAGACCCC